GACGAACGCUGGCGGCGUGCCUAAUACAUGCAAGUCGAACGCAGUGGGGACGGGUGAGUAACACGUGGGUAACCUCCCAUCAGAGGGGAUAACACUUGGAAACAGGUGCUAAACCGAUACUGAUGGAUGGACCCGAGGUGCAUUAGCUAGUUGGGGAGGUAACGGCUCACCAAGGCCACGAUGCAUAGCAGACCUGGGAGGGUGAUAGGCCACACUGGGACGGAGACACGGCCCAGACGCCUACGGGAGGCAUCAGUGGGGAAUCUUCGACAAGGGGCGAAAGUCUGACCGAGCAAGGCCGCGUGAGUGAAGAAGGUUUUCGGAUCGUAAAACUCUGUUAUUAGGGAAGCGGUAUCUAACGAGAAAGCCCCGGCUAACUACGUGCCAGCAGCCGCGGUAAUUC
rnacentral:rRNA from 1 species